GUGAAUCAUCAAAUUUUUGAACGCAAAUUGCACUCUCUUCGGAGAGUAUGCCUGUUUGAGGGUCAGCCUAUAAAAAAUCGACGUAGUUGCUGUUUCGCGGUGACAUUCGUCGGAAGUUGGGUCAUCUUAAAUCUUUGGGUUUUUUAAGAGGCUUAAUUUUUUUUUUAGGUUUAUAAGCAUGUUUAUAAUAUUUUACUUUUUACACUUGUUUAAGGUAUUGUUUUUUAUUGGAAGUGGCAGUUGGAUU
rnacentral:misc_RNA from 1 species